AGUACGUGUCUUUGAAAAGUUUUUUUUCAUUUUCGAGCAAGUUGUAUUAAUUUGUUUAAAUUGCUUAAAUUUUUCAGAAACUUCACGACGAAACCGUCAUUGACGAAGUAAAAGCAGCCACAAGUGUGACAGCUCCACAGAGACCCACCUCCUGGGUGACUUCAGCCCACGCCUCUUCUGCUUCAUUCGUGUCACGAUAAACCGUAGCAGUGGUGUUGGAGGCCGCACAUGAGUCGAUAAACUUCUCCUCUAUUGUUCUCAAACUUUUUCGCUUAGUUACAAGGAAGUGACGUCAGGAUGAACGCGUUGCUGAUUGAAUGAUCGAACGGAUGCCCACGAAGAGUUCUUUUUUCUGACUUCAUUCGCGUCACGCCACACAUUACAUCACGUACAGUUGAUUAAUUACCCUGGUGAUUAAUAUCUACCUCUUGGGGCAGUGGUGGGUUAGGCCAGGUUACCACUGAGGAUGAUGGGUAAAUACAGAGGUCACAUCUCGUUGUGUGCUGUGUCAUAAUCAUAAUUUUGUGACCAAUUGACAGCCACGCUGACAUGAACAUGAACCAGUUCUAAAGAAUUCGAGGAAACGUUUUAGUUUUUAUUCACAUUCAGCUGAUUCAAAAGUCAGAAGUGGAGAAAACACAGACAACGCAGGCGUUAGAGCUGGGAAUCAAACCACUGACCUACCUGCUGUGAGGCAUGAUGUCAAUUGGACUAACAUCACCAUGACAACAGUGUCCAGCUGGUUUACAUGGUACAUUUAUUAGUGAACUCUCAGAUCAGCCACAACAGUUCAAAGAAACGUGAUUGCACGACUUGGUGAAGCAGAACUUCAUUAAAAAAAGUACAAAUCUUAAAAAUUCCAAACAGUAAACAGACGUUUAUAUCGAUGCUAACUAGUUAUGUUAAUGCUACCAACCAUAUGAUUCCAAUGGAAUGAAAAAUGAUAACAUUAAUAUGAACCAUCUCCUAUAUAUAAUAUAUAUAAUAUAUAUUAGUUGUGCCCCCCCCCCCCCCCCCCCCAUGUCCCAAUCCAAACAUGGAAACAAAAUGAGGUAACUGUAAAAGUGCAAGGACCAAAGCAAGAAAACUAAAUUUGCCAAACACAAAACCCAACUGUGUCUCUGCUGGCGGGUGGUCGGUGUGGUGUUCAGGUGAGCACCCCGAGUGGCCAGGAGGAGUAAGAACAGGAAACCACAAUCCCAGAACAAAACAGAACAAGAAACCAGUUUGGUAAUAAAUAUCUGGCGUCUACGACCAAUCAGCUGCGAAUCCUAAACAAACUUUAGCUGCUUAUUGGACACGAUUUUUUCUGCUGCACCACACAAGCUGUGAGAGGUUCAAACCAACGACCAACAGAAAGACUACAAGACUCCAGUCUGUCGUCAUAAAAGACCGUCCACCGGCACAGGAAGCUGAAGAUGA